CGCGUAGGUGGUAGUGUAAGUCUGGGGUGGAAUGCCGGGGCUUAACCCUGGAAUUGCCUUGGAAACUGCAUUACUUGAGUCAGUGAGGGGAGGGUAGAAUUCCUGGUGUAGCGGUGAAAUGCGUAGAUAUCAGGAGGAAGGCCUGUGGCGAAGGCGGCCCUCUGGCGCUGGACUGACACUGAGGCGCGAAAGCGUGGGGAGCAAACAGGAUUAGAUACCCUGGUAGUCCACGCCCUAAACGGUGGGCACUAGGUGUAGGGCUCGUAGGGGUUCUGUGCCGAAGGGAAACCAUUAAGUGCCCCGCCUGGGGAGUACGGCCGCAAGGUUGAA
rnacentral:rRNA from 1 species